GGGUUAAAUGUUAAGUGGCUAUGUCAGUGUCCACCCAUUAAUAUUAUUAAUUGGCUCAGAGAUUUGAGUGACUAGUGAGGCACCCUCCCAUCAUGGGAUGUCGUCGCCAUUGCUCUUUAGCACGAGGCUUACUCGGUGGGAAGGGGGGGCUUGGGCAUCAUUUUACGUAGUUAGUGAUGUCAGUCUCGUGGUCUGUUCCAAGG